CCCUGACCUCGGAUCAGACGUGAUACCCCGGGAUA
rnacentral:rRNA from 1 species